rnacentral:lncRNA from 1 species
CUCCCCAUUCCUACUCCUUAAACCUUGUUCUUUUUCUUUCUGUGUUGGCAAAGGGCAGUACCGUUGACCCUAGACUCAUCUCAGAAAGGGCACAUCGAUGGUUCUGAAGUGAAGGUGCUACCACUUUUCCUCCUGUGGAAAUAUUGCCCCAUUGCUUAAGCCAUUCCGCUGGGGCUUUUUCACCAUCUUUGGUUUCCGAAAAGGACUGGAUAUACUAGGGAGAUGACGUCAUGGUUUCUAUCUGCUAAAUAUAGGACCUCCACCUAGUAAAUGGGCUGAUGGGGAAGCUUGACCCCCUGGCCUGAACUCGGCCCACACGACGGAACACUCCGCGCGCAUUCCAAAGCCGGUGAGCGCAUCCCCGCGCUGCCCACGUCCCCGCCCUGGGAAACGGCUCCGCGGCUCCCCGUCUCCAAUGAGCGGGCUAUUUCUGUCGGCGGGCAGCGGUGCUUCGCAGAUAACUACCUGCCGCCGCCUCUCUCCUUCCUGGCCUCUUUUGGUCACGGCUUCCCCCCGCUCGACCUUCUAUGUCUAAAACAGGCGCGGUUCAGAGGCUCCGGGGCACGUUUCAGCACCCGGCUCCCUCAUGGACUCGGACAUUUCCACGUCCUUGGAGUCCUCGCAGUUUGGGGGGAGCGAGCGGCGGUGCCCCAGCCUGCUUCCAGGCAGAGCGGCAUUUCCAGGCUACGGAAUUCUUUCCGCAACAAUCGACGUUCCCGAGGCUGAGAACAAAUGUCCCCCCGAGCCUCCCUCUCCCGUGGAGAGGCCGGCCGUAGCUUCGGGCUUCGAUCUGAGAGGCCCCCGGAGCUGCAGCCGCAGCUAAGGGAAAACCUGCGCGGCGCAGCCAUAUUUAAUAGGAGUCAGAGUGGAGAUUGCCAGUUGUUGCAGGAUGAGACUCUUCUCUCCCCUCUUUAUGACCUUGAUAUUGGAGGCAUGCGUGAUGACUCUUCCGCAAACAGCCUUUGCACACAUCUGUUCCCUUGGCAAAACUGAAAUUGAGAAUUCAGAACUUAAUGGAAAUGACUUACAACAGCUGUGAGGUUGGCUGUUCAAGCUUCAUUAGAAGCAGCAAGUCACCCACCAUUUGGGAAUUUUAAUAUGGUGUUGUUAUCUUUAAUUCUACAUGUAUACCUCAUUUUGUUGGACUUUAUAAAUAUUAUUAUUAUUUUUUAAAUCAAAGAUUUGUGGCAACCUCAAAUCAAGAAAGUCCAUUGGUGCCAUUUUUCCAACAUGUGCUCAGAUCAUGUCUGUGUGUCACAUGUUGAUAAAACUGAAAUUUUCCAUUCGUCCUUGUCCCUAUUGCUAAGGCAUUCCGUGAUAUAGUUGGAGCAAGGAGGAGAAGAUAAUAGGAAUGGUCUUGGAAAUGAGGAACCCAAUGAAAAGGAGAUUAUAACCAUCCAGGUAUAUAAGGUUUAGUUAGGACUAUUACAUUUGUCAAUGUAUGAAGUGGUACAAAAGAAAAGGUGAGAAUUUCCAUCAAUCUAUCAAUAAACAAGGUACUUUGCUUAAUUAUUGUUAUUUG